GGUGGUGGUGGAGGAGGUUCCGGUGGCGGAGGAGGUGGUGGUGGUAAUGUAAGCAAUAUUUGUGUUUUACAGUAGACAAAUAACAAAAAAAAAACAAAAAUGUGUCAUUUAAAAAAAGGCGGAGGAGGCGGUGGUGGUGAUAAAGGUGGUAAUAAAAGUAAAGGUGGCGCUGCUGACAAGGGUGGCGGUGGAAAAAAAGGACAAGACCAAAAAGCAGCUGGUG
rnacentral:misc_RNA from 1 species